GAUGAAGAACGUAGCAAAAUGCGAUAAGUAGUGUGAAUUGCAGAAUUCAGUGAAUCAUCGAAUCUUUGAACGCACAUUGCGCCCUUUGGUAUUCCAAAGGGCAUGCCUGUUCGAGCGUCAUUUGUACCCUCAAGCUUUGCUUGGUGUUGGGCGUCUUGUCUCUAGCUUUGCUGGAGACUCGCCUUAAAGUAAUUGGCAGCCGGCCUACUGGUUUCGGAGCGCAGCACAAGUCGCACUCUCUAUCAGCAAAGGUCUAGCAUCCAUUAAGCCUUUUUUUCAACUUUUGACCUCGGAUCAGGUAGGGAUACCCGCUGAACUUAAGCAUAUCAAUAAGCGGAGGA
rnacentral:misc_RNA from 1 species